UGCUAAUUUCCAGUGCUUAAAGAAAAAAAUCGGUGUGACAAACAAAUGGCGUGAAAUUGUCCAAUUAGGGUUUACUUACCUUAUCAUAAAACUUACUAAAGAUUUGCAAGUAAAGCAACCCCACAGGGAUCCCUUCUGACAAUCGAGGCCCGUCCUUUCUGCUGUGAAAGAGAGGAUUUUGGUGAAGGACGAAAGCACUGCACAAGGGCUGGGUGCGGAGGUGAGCGCACACGGCAGGCACUGCAGCCCACUGUAACCGCAGCGAGUCCGAGCUGCCUGCAAUCCGGCUUUCAUGUUUCAAAGCUCAGCUCGUGGCACGGUUGCUUUAAUGCAGAGCCUCUGACAUACUGAAGGAAUUGAGGAGUUAUUACCUCUAAGGAAAAGUGUUUCAGAGCUGAAGGGAAAGGUAGCAGUUUUUGAGUGGCAUUGCAAUUUCACCCGCCGUAUUUCUGGGACGCCGGUGAGCUCUUGUGCUCUGGGUGGGGGAAUUGCAACUGAACGUCUCUCUACGCAUUAAUCACAGUUCUCAGCAGUCUGCAGGCUUUUAUUACCAAAGAAAUUCCCCACAGAAAGAAGGACUGUGCUAUCCAUUUGUUCAGAUAAAAUCUGCUCGCGAUAAUUUUUCCACCUGCCCCAUCGAUCCGUGGCGAGGAGAGCCAGACGUGAUACCCGGCUCUCUCGCGGCCGCCUAUACAACGCUAGCUGCGGAAGCUGGCAGCUCCGACCCGAACGGCAAUUUCUCUUUUUGAAACAGAUUAAUAGACGAGCGGGGUUUAUCGUGUCCAAAAAGAGGGAGAAAUCUAUAUUAAACAAAACAAGCCCUGCACACAAAAAGCCUGCUCGCUCACCCCCGCCCCGGCUGCAGGCAUACCCUCCAUCUUCCCCUCAGCCCCUCCCAGCAGCCGCUGCCGAGGAGACCCCGGGGUUUCCCUAGCAACAGGUGGGAGCUGCGCAGCGCCGGGGCUUCCCCAGCGGCGCUCCCCGCACGCCGGCGGCGGGGCCGGGGCUGCCCGGCCGGGCGAGGCUGGGGCAUGAGGCCUCCUCAGCCCUACGGGGCACGCUGGGCGAGGAGCUGCCCCCGGCCCCAGCGGGAAGCUUCCCGUUCCUCUUUCCCCGAAUGGCAAACCUACAGCACGAGGAGGUGAACAGAAAUACGUGUUCCUGAGGAAAAAAAAAAAAUCUUAA